CCUACGGGGGGCAGCAGUGGGGAAUAUUGCACAAUGGGGGAAACCCUGAUGCAGCAACGCCGCGUGAGUGAUGAAGGUCUUCGGAUUGUAAAGCUCUGUCUUUGGGGACGAUAAUGACGGUACCCAAGGAGGAAGCCACGGCUAACUACGUGCCAGCAGCCGCGGUAAUACGUAGGUGGCAAGCGUUAUCCGGAUUUACUGGGCGUAAAGGGAGCGUAGGCGGAUACUUAAGUGGGAUGUGAAAUACCCGGGCUCAACCUGGGUGCUGCAUUCCAAACUGAGUAGCUAGAGUGUGGGAGAGGAGAGUGGAAUUCCUAGUGUAGCGGUGAAAUGCGUAGAGAUUAGGAAGAACACCAGUGGCGAAGGCGACUCUCUGGACCAUAACUGACGCUGAGGCUCGAAAGCGUGGGGAGCAAACAGGAUUAGAUACCCCAGUAGUCUGA
rnacentral:rRNA from 1 species